rnacentral:rRNA from 1 species
AUAGUCUUGGUCCUAGGCUUACCGUUGUUUUUUUUCAAAAUUCAAGUUUCAAGUUUCAACGCACCAGUGAAAAUGCCCUUAUCCCUUAAAAAGGCUAUUGGAGCAGGCAUCAGGCACUGAAUUCAAGCCCACAACGCCUUGCUAUGCCACACCCCCACGGCUAUCAGCAGUAAUAAACAUUGGGCCAUAGGUGAAAACCUGACCCAGUUAUGAUAAAUAGGGCUGGUCAAUUUCGUGCCAGCCACCGCGGUUAUACGAAAAGCCCAAAACAACGACAAACGGCGUAAAAUGUGACUAGAGAUCCUUAAUACUAAAAAUACUAAAACCCACAACCUAGUUGUAAAAUACUUAGGUAUGAAGAAAACCAACAAGUAUUUUUAAUAUAAUAUUCUUGACCACACGAAAGCUUAGAAACAAACUAGGAUUAGAUACCCUACUAUGCUAAGCCCUAAACAUUGAUUAGCCACUAUACAACACUCUCCGCCAGAGAACUACGAAGUGAAAAACUUGAAACUCAAAGGACUUGACGGUGUCCCAUAUCAA